rnacentral:rRNA from 1 species
UGGGGAAUAUUGCACAAUGGGCGCAAGCCUGAUGCAGCCAUGCCGCGUGUGUGAAGAAGGCCUUCGGGUUGUAAAGCACUUUCAGCGGGGAGGAAGGCGUUAAGGUUAAUAACCUUGUCGAUUGACGUUACCCGCAGAAGAAGCACCGGCUAACUCCGUGCCAGCAGCCGCGGUAAUACGGAGGGUGCAAGCGUUAAUCGGAAUUACUGGGCGUAAAGCGCACGCAGGCGGUCUGUCAAGUCGGAUGUGAAAUCCCCGGGCUCAACCUGGGAACUGCAUUCGAAACUGGCAGGCUAGAGUCUUGUAGAGGGGGGUAGAAUUCCAGGUGUAGCGGUGAAAUGCGUAGAGAUCUGGAGGAAUACCGGUGGCGAAGGCGGCCCCCUGGACAAAGACUGACGCUCAGGUGCGAAAGCGUGGGGAGCAAACAGGAUUGGAUACCCUGGUAGUCCACGCCGUAAACGAUGUCGAUUUGGAGGUUGUGCCCUUGAGGCGUGGCUUCCGGAGCUAACGCGUUAAAUCGACCGCCUGGGGAGUACGGCCGCAAGGUUA